rnacentral:rRNA from 1 species
UCGAGAAUUUUUCUCAAUGGGCGAAAGCCUGAAGGAGCGACGCCGCGUGGGGGAUGAAGGGCUUCGGCUCGUAAACCCCUGUCAUUCGCGAACAAUUCCUCCAGCCUAACACGCUGGAGGUUGAUGGUAGCGGAAGAGGAAGGGACGGCUAACUCUGUGCCAGCAGCCGCGGUAAUACAGAGGUCCCAAGCGUUGUUCGGAUUCACUGGGCGUAAAGGGUAGCGUAGGCGGCAGGGAAAGUUUGAUGUGAAAGACUCCGGGCUUAACCCGGAAAUGGCAUUGAAUACUCUCCUGCUCGAGGAUUGGAAGGGAGACUGGAAUUCUCGGUGUAGCAGUGAAAUGCGUAGAUAUCGAGAGGAACACCAGUGGCGAAGGCGAGUCUCUGGACAAUUCCUGACGCUGAGGCACGAAAGCCAGGGUAGCAAACGGGAUUAGAUACCCCGGUAGUCCUGGCCCUAAACGGUGCGCAUUUGCUGUGAGCGGAUUCGACCCCGCUCGU